CGCACAUUGCGCCCAUUAGUAUUCUAGUGGGCAUGCCUGUUCGAGCGUCAUUAAGUCCAUUAAGCCUAGCUGCUUAGCGUUGGGAGCCUGCGCGGCGCGAGCCCGCAGCUCCUCAAAAUCAGUGGCGGAGUCGGCGUACACUCUAGGCGUAGUAGUUUUCAACUCGCUUCAGUGGUGGCGCGGUCCCCUGCCGUAAAACACCCAAAAUCUUUAAAGGUUUGACCUCGGAUCAGGUAGGAAUACCCGCUGAACUUAA
rnacentral:misc_RNA from 1 species